rnacentral:tRNA from 1 species
GCGCCGUUAGCUCAGUCGGCAGAGCAGGGGACUCUUAAUCCCAAGGUCGCAGGUUCGAGUCCUGCACGGCGCACCA